rnacentral:rRNA from 1 species
UACGUAGGGUGCAAGCGUUAUUCGGAAUUAUUGGGCGUAAAGCGCAUGUAGGCGGCUUUGCAAGUUUGAUGUGAAAUCCCCUGGACUCAAUUCAGGAACUGCAUUGAAUACUGCAUGGCUAGAGUAUGAGAGAGGUAGGCGGAAUUCCUGGUGUAGAGGUGAAAUUCGUAGAUAUCAGGAGGAACAACAGAGGCGAAGGCGGCUUACUGGAUCAUAACUGACGCUGAGAUGCGACAGUGUGGGGGAGCAAACAGG